GGGCCCGCACAAGCGGUGGAGCAUGUGGUUUAAUUCGAUGAUACGCGAGGAACCUUACCAGGGCUUAAAUGCAGAACGACCGGAGUGGAAACACUCCUUUUUCGACGGUCUGCAAGGUGCUGCAUGGUUGUCGUCAGCUCGUGCUGUGAAGUGUCGGGUUAAGUCCCAUAACGAGCGCAACCCCUAUUUCUAGUUGCCAGCGGUUCGGCCGGGGACUCUAGAGAAACUGCCAGCGUAAGCUGUGAGGAAGGUGGGGAUGACGUCAAAUCAUCACGGCCCUUACGUCCUGGGCCACACACGUGCUACAAUGGUGGGGACAACAAGUUGCCAACCCGCAAGGGUGAGCUAAUCUCAAAACCCCAUCUCAGUUCGGAUCGGAGUCUGCAACUCGACUCCGUGAAGUUGGAAUCGCUAGUAAUCGCGCAUC
rnacentral:rRNA from 1 species